AACGAACGCUGGCGGCAGGCCUAACACAUGCAGGUCGAGCGAGGACUUCGGUCCUAGCGGCGGACGGGUGAGUAACGCGUGGGAACGUGCCCUUUGCUUCGGAAUAGCCCUGGGAAACUGGGAGUAAUACCGGAUGAGCCCUUUGGGGGAAAGAUUUAUCGGCGAAGGAGCGGCCCGCGUUGGAUUAGGUAGUUGGUGGGGUAAUGGCCUACCAAGCCGACGAUCCAUAGCUGGUUUGAGAGGAUGAUCAGCCACACUGGGACUGAGACACGGCCCAGACUCCUACGGGAGGCAGCAGUGGGGAAUCUUAGACAAUGGGGGAAACCCUGAUCUAGCCAUGCCGCGUGAGCGAUGAAGGCCUUAGGGUUGUAAAGCUCUUUCAGCUGGGAAGAUAAUGACGGUACCAGCAGAAGAAGCCCCGGCUAACUCCGUG
rnacentral:rRNA from 1 species